rnacentral:rRNA from 1 species
UACGUAGGGGGCAAGCGUUGUCCGGAAUCAUUGGGCGUAAAGCGCGUGUAGGCGGCUCGAUAAGUCUGCUGUGAAAGUUCAGGGCUCAACCCUGAAAUGCCGGUGGAAACUGUCGAGCUAGAGUCCGGAAGAGGUGAGUGGAAUUCCUGGUGUAGCGGUGAAAUGCGCAGAUAUCAGGAGGAACACCAAUGGCGAAGGCAGCUCACUGGGACGGUACUGACGCUGAGACGCGAAAGCGUGGGGAGCGAACAGG